rnacentral:rRNA from 1 species
ACGGAAUAGAUACCCCGGUAGUCCCAGCCGUAAACUAUGCUCGCUAGGUGUCAGGGACGGUGCGACCGUUUCUGGUGCCGUAGGGAAAGCCGUGAAGCGAGCCACCUGGGAAGUACGGUCGCAAGGCUGAAACUUAAAGGAAUUGGCGGGGGAGCACUACAACGGGUGGAGCCUACGGUUUAAUUGGACUCAACGCCGGAAAACUCACCUGGGGCGACAGCAAUAUGUAGGUCAAGCUAAAGACUUUACCAGAAUCGCUGAGAGGAGGUGCAUGGCCGUCGUCAGUUCGUACUGUGAAAGCAUCCUGUUAAGUCAGGCAACGAGCGAGACCCGUGCCCACUGUUGCCAGCAUGUCCUCGGUAGUG